UCGGAACCACCACGGCAAAAAUGUAUUGAAUCCAUUUUAGAAUAAGGCUGUAACGUAACAAAAUGUGGAAAAAGGGAAGGGGUCUGAAUACUUCUCUGUAGCUGGUAUAGCGUGGCGCUUGCAAUGCCAAGAUAGUGGGUUUGAUUCCCAGGACCAGACGUAUGGAAAACGUAUGUACACAUGACUGUAAGUCACUUUGGAUAAAAGCGACUGCUAAAUAGCAUUGACAGAUUGAUUUAUGUCUCCCUACUUAGGUUCAGACUGGUAGCUCGACACUGUCGUCCAAGGACCACAGGCAGCUAGCUGUGUUUACAGUGCCCUCUGCUGGAGUUAGGAAGGUACUGGGGUUUAUUUCUCUAGUGCAGUGAUGAACUGAGACACUGCUAUGAAUGAAAAAAGUGAAACAACAAUUGCCUACAUUACCCUGUCUCUAUUUUAGAUUGUGCUGUCCACAAACAUAGCGGAAACUGGAGUCACCAUACCUGAUGUUGUGUUCGUUAUUGAUACCAGAAAGACCAAAGAAAACAGGUACCAUGAGAGCAGCCAGAUGAAUUCCCUGGUGAUGUUUGUCAGCAAGGCCAGUGCCCUCCAAUGGCAAGACAGGGCAGGACACGUACGGAACGGGUUCUGCUUCCGACCUCUACCCCAAAUCCAGUUCAGGUUCUCUCUGUGAACCACAGAACAAGUUACCCUCUACAGCCUUAUUGAGGUCAGCAGCUCCACAAGUAACAGCCUGAUUGUGAAUGUUCCUUAUAACAGGUUUCUGGCCUUCAUGGAUUUCUCCAUACCAGAAAUACUGAGGGUUCACUGGAGGAUCUGUGACUUCAUAUCGUGCAGUGUGAGUACGGCUCUCCAUAGGAGUUCCUGUGCAGAGCCCUGGAUGCGCCCCAGCCCCAGUCAGUGAGUAACGCUGUGUUCCUGUUCCAGGGGAUUGGGGCGUGCUCCUCCCUCAGCCCUCUGGGUUGCCACCCUGCCCAUGAAUGGCAAGAUGCUCAUCUUCGGCACCAUCUCGGGCUGCCUGGAACCAAUUGUAAGUUACGUCCAUCAACGGUGACAUAAAUUAUGUCUGAAUUGCAAAAUGAGCAGUUAUAUGUUGUUACUUUCUCUGCAAUACUGUGAUAUCUAUAAAAAUAUGAAAUUGUGUGUUGGAACUCAUAUCGGUAAAAACUGUAUAGCUCAGGGUAUAAAAGGUGCUCUUUGAACAGGGUAGUCUCCAGUGUAUUCUCCAUACUGAAUGUAAUUGUAUAUUCCAGGCAACUAUAGAGGCAGCCAUCUCGGAGAAGCUUCCCUUUGCCACACCCAUGAACCAGAAGGAUCUGAUCACCUGGCCAUCUACAACGCUUACUUGGAGAGGUAGCACUUUUAAUAACAGUAUGAAUGACCAAAAUCAGAGGCAGGCACAUGUUGAUUAGGGCACACGGUAGCAAAACAUUUUGCAACGGCGGA
rnacentral:lncRNA from 8 species